GGAUUAGAUACCCUGGUAGUCCACGCUGUAAACGAUGAUUACUCGGUGUUGGCGAUAUACAGUCAGUGCCCAAGCGAAAGUGAUAAGUAAUCCACCUGGGGAGUACGAUCGCAAGGUUGAAACUCAAAGGAAUUGACGGGGGCCCGCACAAGCGGUGGAGCAUGUGGUUUAAUUCGAUGAUACGCGAGGAACCUUACCUGGGCUUAAAUGCACAAUGACCGUCUCGGAAACGAGACUUUCUUCGGACAGGGUGCAAGGUGCUGCAUGGUUGUCGUCAGCUCGUGCCG
rnacentral:rRNA from 1 species